rnacentral:lncRNA from 1 species
UGUGAAUCUGUUUCUCUUCUCACCUGCCAAAUUUAUCACUUAAUGAGACCGCUUCAUGGACAGUACAUAUGAAGUUACUUGUGUAUUUUUAGAAGUAGCUUGUAGGGAGAAGUGAAAAGAAAGCGUUUUAUCCAUUGACUCUAAUGAAGAGCAACAGUAAAUCUCAACUGUGCAAUCUGAAGUGUAAACAUUGGGAACUUUUUGUCUAAGGAGUGUAUUUUAAAUGACAUUCGUUUUUUUCUUUCCAAGAUCUAGAGAGCCAGUACUUGACUGCUGCAAGUCCAUUUUUCGAAGCCUGCCUCUCGGUUAAACCUCACUCCAGCGGGAUUCACUCUGUUUCCACAGCCGGACUGUCCCCCCAUGGCUCCGCUGAAGUCUGGCUCUGCUACCUCAAUCCACCCAUGUCCCAGAGAUGGUUCUGCUCCUGUUAUUGUCUGUGUUCCUUUUGCACUGUACUCAAUAAACUAUGGUAUGCUCCAU